GACGAACGCUGGCGGCGUGCUUAACACAUGCAAGUCGAACGGAAAGGCCCUGCUUUUGUGGGGGGCUCGAGUGGCGAACGGGUGAGUAACACGUGAGUAACCUGCCCUUGACUUUGGGAUAACUUCAGGAAACUGGGGCUAAUACCGGAUAGGAGCUCCUGCUGCAUGGUGGGGGUUGGAAAGUGUCGGCGGUUGGGGAUGGACUCGCGGCUUAUCAGCUUGUUGGUGGGGUAGUGGCUUACCAAGGCUUUGACGGGUAGCCGGCCUGAGAGGGUGACCGGCCACAUUGGGACUGAGAUACGGCCCAGACUCCUACGGGAGGCAGCAGUGGGGAAUAUUGCACAAUGGGCGGAAGCCUGAUGCAGCAACGCCGCGUGCGGGAUGACGGCCUUCGGGUUGUAAACCGCUUUCGCCUGUGACGAAGCGUGAGUGACGGUAAUGGGUAAAGAAGCACCGGCUAACUACGUG
rnacentral:rRNA from 1 species